AGAGGGAAACCAGCUGGCACGCGCUGGCUGGCAGACAGCAGAGACUGUCUCGAGUGGGAGGCGGAAGCCAGGGCUGGGACUGCUCUGCUGUCAAGGACGUGGUCUCUCUCGGAGAAAGCUGAAGAGGCAGCUGCAGGCACUGCAGCAUCUUACUUGCUCGGUGUCCUCCUGGUCUGGCCCACAGAAACUGACGGCCUAUACUUGAUAAGAAGAGACUCCUCAUAAAGGGAAAGAAAAUCUUGGAGCUGCAGAGACUGAGAAACAAAACAGUGGUCAUUGAAACCUGCAUCUUUCUGGAUUUUUGUAGAGCAUUGCAUUGGGAUGGAAGAUGUGUCCAGUUUGGAGAUUCUCUCUCUGGGGGAUUUCCCCUCUAUUCUCCUUUUAUUGUCCACAUUCCAAGUCUCUAGUCCCCACCUGGGACUUGCUCUACCCUCCAGAACAUCUGUGAAAAAUUCAUACCAAGAUGGAUUUUGUUUAUCUUUUGCUGAAAAAUCGUUCUUUAGCAGGGGCUGGGCCCUGGAACUGAGUCUUGAUUGACUAGGCUAAUCAAGACCUGUCAAGUGAUUGUUGAGGGCAGAGUCUUCUCUCUGUAGAAGCUGGAUAUUCACGAUUCUGGCCUUUCUCACACCUGGUCCAUCUGCAUAUGACUAAUAAUUCAUGAGGCAGGGCAUCCAAGAUAAAGCAACAAGGCCAGCGGUGUCAUUUACAAGUAACUCUUGAUAUGAAACCUGACUGAUUCCUGGAGAAGCCAUAACAAAUAGAACCACUAUCUACUAAAUCAGAAUGUCAAGGAGUAGGCCCCAAGACUCUUACUACACAGCACCUCGG